rnacentral:rRNA from 1 species
UGUCUGAAGGAUGAUCAGCCCACUGGAUGAGAGCCGGCCCCAGACUCUUGCGGAAGCAGCAGUGGGAAUAUUGGACAAUGGGCGCAAGCUUGAUCCAGCCAUGCCGCGUGAGUGAUGAAGGCCCUAGGGUUGUAAAGCUCUUUCGCCAGGGACGAUAAUGACGGUACCUGGAUAAGAAGCCCCGGCUAACUUCGUGCCAGCAGCCGCGGUAAUACGAAGGGGGCUAGCGUUGUUCGGAAUCACUGGGCGUAAAGCGCACGUAGGCGGAUCUUUAAGUCAGGGGUGAAAUCCCGAGGCUCAACCUCGGAACUGCCUUUGAUACUGGAGGUCUCGAGUUCGGGAGAGGUGAGUGGAACUGCGAGUGUAGAGGUGAAAUUCGUAGAUAUUCGCAAGAACACCAGUGGCGAAGGCGGCUCACUGGCCCGAUACUGACGCUGAGGUG